rnacentral:rRNA from 1 species
UUGGAGGGCAAGUCUGGUGCCAGCAGCCGCGGUAAUUCCAGCUCCAAUAGCGUAUAUUAAAGUUGUUGCAGUUAAAAAGCUCGUAGUUGAAUUUCGGGGUCAGUAGGUUGGUCAUGCCACUGGUAUGUACUGGUCUCACUGAUUCCUCCUUCCUGAUGAGCCGUAAUGCCAUUAAUUUGGUGUUGCGAGGAAUCUGGACUGUUACUUUGAAAAAAUUAGAGUGUUUAAAGCAGGCUAACGCUUGAAUACAUUAGCAUGGAAUAACGAAAUAGGACGUUCGAUCUUAUUUUGUUGGUUUCUAAGAUUGACGUAAUGGUUAAUAGGGAUAGUUGGGGGCAUUAGUAUUCAAUUGUCAGAGGUGAAAUUCUUGGAUUUAUUGAAGACUAACUACUGCGAAAGCAUUUGCCAAGGAUGUUUUCAUUAAUCAAGAACGAAAGUUAGGGGAUCGAAGACGAUCAGAUACCGUCGUAGUCUUAACCAUAAACUAUGCCGACUAGGGAUCGGAUGAUGUUAAUUUUUUAAUGACUCAUUCGGCGCCUUACGGGAAACCAAAGUGUUUGGGUUC